AAGCUGUGAUUGGGCCACUGCAUUCCAGCCUGGCCGACAGAGCAAGACCCUCUCUCAAAAAUUAAUUAAUUAAUUAAGGAGAGACACAGGGCUGCAGAGUGAGUCUGGUCAGGGGCGAGGGAUGCGUCGGUGCUGAGGGCGCAUGAGAGGCCGCGCGGUAGGAGGAGACCUGCAAAUGGACUGUGGCAGCAGCUGCCUUCUAGACAGGUGGAUGCAGUGUCCUUCCCACAUGCUUUUCCACAUGGCAGCAGGGAGAAGAGCACAGAGGAUCUAGAGAAAGGUGGCUCCAGGCCAGAGUGCAGGUGGGCAGUGUGGAUGCCCAGCUGGCUAGGAGGAGGGCAGGGCCUGGCAGGGAACACAGGGAGAGGCCCUGGACCGAGGGGAUGCCCUGAUGCUGGAGAGGGCACAGAUAUAAGGGUGGAAUGUGGGAAGACCAGGCAAACAUCAGGUCCAGGAAAAGAAAACGUGUCCCAGAAAGAGACUGCAGUGCCAGGUCACUGCUCAGCCAUGCCAGGGUUGACUCAUCCCUGAGUUGCUGAGCCCUGGCCGGAAAGCUGCACUGUGGCUCCAGGACUGAGCGUGAAUGGUACUGGCCCUGCCCACGCUUAAAGUCAAGUUCCCUCUCCUCUGCUCCUCUCAGGCCUUCCCCGCCCCUCAUGGACCCUGUCGUCCUCUUGGGCCUUACUGGGCCUCAGGGGCAUGAGACACACCUGUGGCUGCCCGGACACAGCUCCGUUCUCUUCCUGCCUCACAGCUGCUCAUUGCCCCUCAGGGCCCUCUUCUCUCCUCUGUCCCCGAACAGGCCACGGGGGUCCCAGCCUUCUCUCUCCAGCUCCUUUUCCAGGCAUACCUGCCCAGUGGCCUCCCGGACCCCCCGACCACUCCCACCCCCCACUCAAAUCCCACAGGCUCUACUUGCAAACACACCUGGAAUCCAGUGGCCUCUGCUGCCGUGGGGCCGCUCUCCACAGUGCGACUGCCAUCACUUCCUCAUAAGUCUCGCAAGUCCCUUGCAAACCCGCAGCCAGAAGCUCCUGUCUCCAAACCUUGUCCUUACCCCAGCCCCACAAGGACUAGGGGGAGGCCUCUUCACCCAGCACCCCACAACCGAGCCUGGCUCAUGCCCCCACUGUAUCCGAGGGUGCCUCCCCAGGGCUCCGUGACAAGUGUGCUCCAGAACCCGUCUUUUCUAGUGGUGGAGACCUCACUUUGUGCCAGGCUCACUGCUGCCCAUAACAUAGGACACAGUUAUAUUUGAAUUUUGGAUAAACAAUAUGUAGUGGGAGAAAUCCCUAACACUGCAGGGAUAGACAAGAAUCUGGAUGUUCCUGGAGUUGACUGGCCAAAUCUGGCAAUCUAACCCUAGAAAUAAGGUACGUUCCUGGCCUCCCUUGCAGCUAGAAAGACCACAUGAGAAAGACUGACCAAUGGGAUGUGAGCACUGCCCAGGCCACACCCCUAAAGAGAAGGCUCAGCCUCCCCACCUCUGAGCAGGUGCUGAUUCCUGCCCUACACCUUACCCUGCCUGGGGCCUGCAGUGACCUCAGACCCCUGCUCUCCCUGGCCUGCAUUAGAGGGGAGAGACAUCCUCCUGACACCUGACUCAGUCGCUCCAGGUGUGCGAGCUCCAAGGGAGGACUCUGUUCACUGCAGAUACCAGGCACAUCCAGCUCCACCAGUGCCAGGCUGAGGCGCCAGGGCCAAGGAACCAAAGCCCCAGCGGCCGAGUCUUGAGGGCACGUGGCAGUCACCUCCAGCCUGCUGUUGCCAUGAUUUUGUUUCUAACCAUGUGCCUGUAUGGCUUCAAUAAAAGGCUCUACUUUUA